rnacentral:lncRNA from 1 species
UGGUUGAAUAUUUUAGGAAAAACUUCAAAAACCUCCCCUGUGGUUUCCAACUUUCUCACUUUAGUAUCCCGUGGUUUAAAGUGUAUCAAUUUGUCCCCCUGUGGUUUUGUUUUUAUUUUUUCUAUAAUUUUUUUCUUAAUAUUUCGUUAAAUUAUAUGCAAAAAAACAUCAGAUAUCCAUCUAGAUUUACCGAAUAUUUACUUUAGUACUGUUUAGUUUUAAUUUUGUUGCUGAUUUGAGAAAAAAAAAUAAUAAAAUUGAUAAAAAAAAAGAGAAAAACGAAACUACAGGGGGGCAAAUUGAUACACUUUAAACCACAGGGUACCAAGGUGAGAAAGCUGGAAACCACAAGGGGGGUUUUUUGAAGUUAUCCCAAUAUUUUAUGUACCGUGAACAAUCAUUGCAACCGCGAAAGAGGGGGUCGACGAAGCGGAAGCGAGGAUAAUAAGUAAGAACGGUUAGUUUUAGAAAUAAAUAUAAGUUUAGAUAUAAACAGAAACUAGAUCAAUUUUGUAUUUGGAUGAAAAUUAGAUUGUUCCUAGAAAUAAGAUAAAUAGCGUUUGAAUGGUUAGAUUGAAACAAGAGUAAUAAAAGUUAUAAUUUGAAAUUAAAAUUAUAUUAUGUAAUUAAUUAACAUCAAAAUAUUACUUAAAAAUAAAAUAAUAAAUUAAUUAUUCAUAAUUAAUUAUAAAUAAUAAUAAGUAUUA